UACGUAGGGGGCGAGCGUUGUCCGGAUUUAUUGGGCGUAAAGAGCGUGUAGGCGGCCAGGUAGGUCUGCUGUGAAAACUCGAGGCUCAACCUCGAGACGUCGGCGGAAACCAUCUGGCUAGAGUCCGGAAGAGGAGAGUGGAAUUCCUGGUGUAGCGGUGAAAUGCGCAGAUAUCGGGAAGAACACCCGUGGCGAAGGCGGCUCUCUGGGACGGUACUGACGCUGAGACGCGAAAGCGUGGGGAGCGAACAGG
rnacentral:rRNA from 1 species